rnacentral:lncRNA from 1 species
GAAAAAAAGACAAGAAGUUGUUUCACAUUACAGACCUCCCCCCACCCCAAAGCCUAAUACUUGCUUACCAAGUCAAAAAAGAGACACAGUUGAUUCACAGGCUGGAGGUUUGAACUUGAGUAAGACAUUUAUAAAAACCUAGACGGGGCAGUGUCCUCCCCAGCCCAGGUGCCACUAGGCACAGCACAAGAGACUAAAAACAACAGGGGAAGGCUGGACACUCAAGGUUUGGGAGUAUAAGCACCCCACUUCUGGCUCAGGGAUUUGGGGAGUAGGGUAAACAAAACCUACUUGGAAAAGAAUUGGGGAAGAAAACCAACAACUGCCUUAUGCAGGGGUGGGGACAGGGAAGGAGGUAGGGCCAGGGACAGGAGCAUUUCACAUCACUAACCUAACUUGGGAAGCUGUAAGGGACCAUCUUCAACUGGCCUUAAGAGGAGAACCAGAUGGCUGAUGGGAGAAUCCACAGGAGGGAGAGGAGGAAAGGGAACGUGGCUGGGAGGAGGCAAUAGCCCCUUCCUUUCUGGGCACAGGAAGGCAGCCAGGGCACCAGGUCCAGGCAGUGACCUCACAAGGACAGCACAGUUUUUGCAGCUUAGAGAUCACCCACCUGCCCCUACCUAGCUACUCAUUCUGCUCAGCGCUGGCUGGUGUAGGGCCACUCUCCGGCCCCGAGGGAGUGGAUGGCUCUGUAGCCUGGGGCCCUGCCUCUUCUUCUGAGGCUGCACUAGCCUCUGCCCCCUUGGCCUGGGGUUCCUGGCUCUCAGGGGUGGCUGCGGCCUUCCCUUCCUGAGCAGUGCCCUCGUCGCUGCAGGCACCGAUCUCCCCCUGCUCCUGCUCUUCCUCUGUGGGUGAGGAGGCAGAAGAAUCACCCCCACCCUCCUUCCGAUUUCUCUUGAAGGACAGGCCGCUCAAUUUGAAAGGCUUCUUGAAAGAGAAUUUCUUCUUCUUCUUGGGGGUCUCCUUGGGGGGGACCUCCCCCUUGGCCUCAGCACCCUGGCUAGGGGGUGCUGGCUCGAUGGCAUCGCCAGUGGCCCCGGCUGCCUCAUCUGUUCCGUUCACAGGGGGCGACUCCCCUUCACCCUUGGGGGAUAAGUCUCCAUUGCUUUUCACGUGGCCAUUCUCCUGGCCGUUGGCCUUCGCGGGGGAAGCGCCUGCUGCCUCCUCGGCGGUCACGUCGCCCCGGGGAGCCUUGGAGCUCUGGCUGCCCAUGAUGGGGGUCUGCUGGGGGGCGCUUGGAGCCGCCCCGGGCUCGCGCCGCAGGGGAUAGUACGGCGGGGUCGGCCCGGCCGGCGGAGGGGUGGGGCUGGCGCCCGAGGGGGAGGGGUGCCGGGGGAAGCCGAGCUGCACCUCCGCUCCGCGGCCGACCCGCUAGCUGCGCCCGCCGCCGCUCCGCUCCGCGCC